rnacentral:rRNA from 1 species
GACGAACGCUGGCGGCGUGCCUAAUACAUGCAAGUCGAACGGAAAGGCCCUGCUCUUGUGGCGUGCUCGAGUGCCGAACGCGUGAGUAACACGCGUGUAACCUGUCCUUGUCUUUGGGAUAACUCCUGGAAACUCGGGCUAAUAUACGAUAGGAGAUCCUGCUGCACGGUGGUGGUUGGUAAGUUUCGGCGGUUUUGGAUGGACUCGCGGCUUAUCAGCUUGUUGGUGGGGUUGUUGCUUACCAAGGCUUUGACGGGUAGCCGGCCUGAGAGGGUGACCGGCCACAUUGGUCCUGAGGUACGGCCCAGACUGCUACGGGAGGCAGCAGUGGAAAGUAUUGCGCAAUAGGCGGAAGUCUGAUGCAACAAUGCCGCGUGCGUAAUGCCGGCUUUCGGGUUGUAAACCGCUGUCGCCUGUAACGAAGCGUGAGUGACGGUAAUGGGUAAGAAAGCACCGGCUAACUACGUG